GCGUGGGUGAAGAAGGCCUUAGGGUUGUAAACCCCUUUCAGCGGGGAAGAUAAUGACGGUACCCGCAGAAGAAGUCCCGGCUAACUCCGUGCCAGCAGCCGCGGUAAUACGGAGGGGACUAGCGUUGUUCGGAAUUACUGGGCGUAAAGCGCGCGUAGGCGGAUUUGCAAGUCGGGGGUGAAAUCCCGAGGCUCAACCUCGGAACUGCCUUCGAUACUGCAAAUCUCGAGUCCGGAAGAGGUGAGUGGAAUUCCUAGUGUAGAGGUGAAAUUCGU
rnacentral:rRNA from 1 species